AUGGACGUUGUUUUGCGAUGUUUAGUUCAAGUAAGUUUUUACCGGUUCGUUAGUUAGGAGGCAUCAUCGUUUGAAAUUCAGAUUUGUUAAAAAUACUAUAAAACACUGUUUACAAUGACAACUCGACGGGAUUCGCGAUAAUAAACCGAUUUAUAAUUGGUGAACUAAAUAUAAACCGAAGUGAUAUUGUUAUCCUUUGCGGUUACCGGGGUAACCGAUCAACAUAACAUGACUGCAGGUCAUCGGAACACAUUCUACUGUGUUUUUCUUCUGUUUUCCCAUUCAUACGCUCGCUGAGCCAAGUUUUGUGGGUUGUUGAUGUUUCAUAUAGUCCCGGCUUGUGGAAUAGAACACACCGCUGUGAUUAGUUAUUCGAAAUCGUCGAUAGUGCUUGUUCAUCUUCUGACAAAAGUUGCGCAAAAGUACACAGUAAUGUAUGACUUGCAAGGCAGGUGAAGAGAUUGUGUAAAAUCUGCUGUAAUUGGUAACAAAAUGGUUGAAAAUAUUAAUGGAGUAAUCGAAUUAAUCGAAUAAUAAUGUACUAGUUAUUUAAUUAGUCAAUGAUGCUCUUCAACAUUUAAACUAAAGUUAACUAACAUCAAAUUAUAACAGCUGCAUUUGUUCAUCUUAAGUGUUCGUUUGGUUGUCACAAAUGUGAAUAAGUUGUUGAUAUUUUUUCGCCUUUUCCAAUAAGAAUUGUGUAAAUGUAACUAUCUACGAUGUAUGAAAAUCAGAACAUGAAGUAAUAACGAGGUCAAAAAACGUUACUCCAUUCAGGACACGCGUCAAUUUGAAAACGAACAUAAAAACUGAUGGCGAAUACAGUGUGAUAUAGUGAAAAUUGAGUGAGGACGACAUAAGCGCUGAACGCAGUACAAGGGAAAAUGUAAAUAUUGAAUCGAGUAUGCGAUAUAGUGAACAACUCUCAAGUCGACCAGCUUUCGCAUCAUUUAGUCCGCUGUUGCAACGACGAUUGAGGAGCUGGGAGCUCUUCUUGCAACAAUUCAAGACAGACCAUUGAUGAAUAUUAAUGAGUCCUGCGGGUCGGUGAAUGAUGUUGUAUAUUGAACUUUCAGCGAAAGAAAGGAUACUUGAUGUCGGCUUCCCGACCAGCCAUAGUGGUUGGAAAAUAUUAUUGCAUGUUGACAUGAAAUCUUUUGGGCUGCAAAAGUGUUUGUUUUUCAAAAGUGAAACAAAAACUUCUUCGUAAAUGACAGGAAAUAUGAGCUCCCUAUUGCAACGAAAACGUGAAACUGUUUGAAUUGGCGACAGUCAAUGAAGCUGGAGGACGACGCUAUGUGCAACGACCGCGUGUUGCAGUAGAAUACGGUAGGAACCAUGAAUCGAUACCUAACAUUGAGCCAGCUUGGAGACGGUACCUACGGUACGGUUGUCCUUGGUCAACGCAAAGACACCGGCGAGAAGGUCGCCAUCAAACGAAUGAAACGGAAGUACUACUCCUGGGAGGAAGCCAUGAAUCUCAGAGAGGUUAAGUCCCUGAAAAAACUUUCACAUGCCAACGUGGUCAAGCUGAAAGAGGUGAUACGGGAAAACGACGUCCUCUACUUUGUGUUCGAGUACAUGCAGGAGAACCUGUACCAGCUAAUCAAAGACCGCGAAACUCACUUCUCGGAAGCAACGAUAAGACUGAUUCUGCAGCAAAUCCUUACGGGGUUGGCAUUUAUGCACCGGCAUGGGUUCUUCCAUCGGGAUCUGAAACCGGAGAAUGUGCUCUGCUGCGGGCCGGAGUUAGUCAAAAUAGCCGAUUUCGGUUUGGCUCGCGAAAUCCGAUCCCGGCCUCCGUACACGGACUACGUGUCAACUCGUUGGUACCGUGCACCGGAAGUACUGCUCCAUUCUACCCGCUACGGAAGUGCCAUCGAUCUAUGGGCCGUAGGUUGCAUAGCUGCUGAGCUUUACACCUUUCGGCCGUUGUUUCCCGGAUCCAGCGAAGUAGAUCAGCUGUUCAAAAUAUGUUCUGUGCUCGGAACUCCGGAAAAGAGUGACUGGCCUGAAGGGCAUAAACUCGCCUCAACAAUACAGUUUCGUUUUCCGGAAUGUCCAAAAAUCGCUUUAGAGACUUUGAUAACUCGUGCGGGAACUUCUGCAAUUCAAUUGUUGGUAGAUUUUCUCCGUUGGGAUCCAGAAAAACGACCAACCGCUCAACAAUCACUAAAAUAUCCCUAUUUUGGUGCUAUGAAGCCGAAACAUUCAGUUGGCGCAUUAUCAAACGGAAAUAUUCAGUUACCAUCGAUGCAGCAAAACAAUAACGGUGUGCCUAACGCAAGGAUUUCAAUACUGGAUGCGUCUCAGUUGGACAAUAGUGAAUUCAAAAGUAGAUUUAGUUUAAAUCCAAACAAUAGCAGUAAUAUAUCUGUGAAUAACAAUAACAGCGCCAACACCAACGGAAGUGUUUAUAAAUCAUUGAGUAAUAGUGAUUUGAACGAUAUCAAUUCUCUCCUAAACUUGUCGCGAAUCUCCCAGAAUGUCCCGGUGGAAAAGCGAGUCUCUCUGGAUAGUGGUAGUGCUAAGAGCAAUACUAAAUUUCAGAGUACGAUCAAUUACAGUGUACUUAACGAAAUGUUGAACAGUUACAACAUCGGUCUAAACGAUAGUCUCGAUCGCGGUCGGUUGCACCGGAACAAUAGUAUUACGAAAUCGACUACUGAACAAAGUGAUAGUGGGGUGAACGAUAACGGUAGUUCCGUGGUUAGCUACUCAAUUAUGAAACCGACAGUGAUGGACAUUGGAAAAAAUCCUGCAAAUGUUUCUGUAGCACGUAAGGAAAAAGUGAAUGAAAUUUUUGUUACGAGAAAUGGAGAUAGUUUAAGUACUAAUAGUGCUAAUCGAGCAGUGGACAGUGAAGAUUCGAGCUACUUUAAUAAUGGGUUCUUUCUGCACAAACAAAACGAAAACGCAAAAAAAGUUGCCAAUGGAAGUUUAAGUGUGUUUAAGGAAAGUUUCCUAAACGACUCCAAGGCUUACAAUGCAUUUUCGAAGCAACCUGUGUUGUUAACUAGAAAAACGGAUGAAGAGAUUAAAGUGAAUAAGUCGAAGAGCUCCAUCAAUCGUGGAUUACAAAGCCAUUUCAGUCGUAGCUGGGAGCCUGUUAAAGGAAGUAGUUUUGAAGAUGAUCUUGAGGAUAUUUUGGGGUGUAGAAUUCAUACGAGAAAAAAAUCAAACACAGAAUUCAAAGUGGAGGACAUUUUUGGGACGGUUUCUUUUGCUAAGGAUUCCAAUGCAUCGAAGUAUCCCAAUACGGUUCCAUUCGCGAAAAGUGUGAUGAAGAAUGGCGAUACGAUGACCGACAUUUUUGAUAAUUCUGAUCAUGCGAAACCAUCACAUUCCAGUGCAAAUAUUGUUCCUAGAAGGAAGAAUCCGCAGGUGUUUGUGUCCAAUAACAACUUUGAAGCGAACAACGAGUUCAACGGUGUCAACGCUUCAUUCAAACUUUUCCCAUGGGAAGACGCUCCGAAGAAUGCACCGGAAAAGAAACAGUGGGCUCCGGACAGUGGAGUGCUGACCUAUGUCGGACCAAGCGGAGACGGUAAGGGACGACCGGAUUGGGCGGCAAAAUAUUUGGGAAAAUAAACCGAUUGCGGCCAAGAGCACGGGCGAAUCAAGCGUUGGACACUUUUGGUUUAAAUCACAGCAAGUCGAGUAGCAACUUUUGUCAUGAUGAACGUAGUUAAACAUAGUAUUUAUAUAUAUUUGUAUUAGCCUAGAAAAUCCUGAACAAUCUGUGAUAGAUCAGUGCAUAAAAAGUGCGGUUGAAUGUGUAUCAAUGUUUCAUCAAUGUAUGCAUAUUUUGCCAAUGAGGUCCGUUACACUAUCACAAACAUGAUCCAAAGUUGGUUAAUGAAAAAACUCUAGUACUUGGGCGCACUAUCCGAUCCAGAAACAAAGGUAAAUUAUUGGAUUGAUAUGGAGGCCAAUUAAUUUUGAGUGGCUGGUGACCGGUUUUCAACAAUUGGAAAAUGCCUUAGUUAAGCUGAAUAUUUCAGCUACAGCGUGGAUUGAAAAGAUAUAGAAAAAACUUUCGAGGGUGUACGAGUUCCCGAGCUGAAAGAGAAAGUUGAACACACCCAUCAAGGUUGACUGAACUUGAAUGCCUUCGUGGUUGGUGUUUCUCUGGUAAGAAAAUCUUCUCUGUAGCAGAUUACUUUUCGCGUGGUAAGUAUGAAAAGGUACUACGAUUCUUAGUAUCAUUCAUCAGAUAUCGCUACUAUCCGUAUUAAUUUAUGCUUCUUCUCCUAUACCCGCCAGGUCCAUCCUUCCAACGCGCUGCUCUAGUGCAUCACAUUACCACUGUCCAGGCCGCUCCAGUUCGCCAUACCAUCGUGAAGGAAAUUGAACAACGGGCUCCGGUAAAUUAUGAAUUUCCGUAUUCCGUCCAUGAUAAAAACACUGGUGAAUUCAAGAGCGAGCACGAAACCCGACACGAAGACGAAGCGCAUGGACAGUACAGUAGUAUUUCGAUUCCAUCAGCAAAUUCAUAAAAGUUUGCGUUAACUUCGAAAUUCAGCCAACGUGAAAACAUCAUCAGCUUAGCUUUACUGAGUCAAACACGGAUUCGGUAAAGGUGAAUGAUUGAAAAAUCGAUGGUGAAAAUUUGCGAAAAAUAUAUCUUUGAAGCUAAACUCGAACAUGCAAACUUUCGGCUUGCUCAUUUGAACCACUCUUUGAAAUAACCAUAUAGGGGAAAAUCGGAAGUCUUGGGCCAACUAUCAUCAAGUAUUAUUAUUGAGUUCAUAAUUGUUUCAAUUGAUAAAAUUA